AUUGAACGCUGGCGGCAGGCCUAACACAUGCAAGUCGAGCGGAAGAAGGGAGCUUGCUGCUGGAUUCAGCGGCGGACGGGUGAGUAAUGCCUAUGAAUCUGCCUGGUAGUGGGGGAUAACGUCCGGAAACGGGCGCUAAUACCGCAUACGUCCUGAGGGAGAAAGUGGGGGAUCUUGGGACCUCACGCUAUCAGGUGAGCCUAGGUCGGAUUAGCUAGUUGGUGGGGUAAAGGCCUACCAAGGCGACGAUCCGUAACUGGUCUGAGAGGAUGAUCAGCCACACUGGAACUGAGACACGGUCCAGACUCCUACGGGAGGCAGCAGUGGGGAAUAUUGGACAAUGGGCGAAAGCCUGAUCCAGCCAUGCCGCGUGUGUGAAGAAGGUCUUCGGAUUGUAAAGCACUUUUAGUUGGGAAGAAAGGCAGUAAGUUAAUACCUUGCUGUGUUGACGUUACCAAAAGAAUAAGCACCGGCUAACUUCGUG
rnacentral:rRNA from 1 species